UACGUAGGGUCCGAGCGUUGUCCGGAUUUAUUGGGCGUAAAGAGCUCGUAGGCGGUUCCGUAAGUCAGAUGUGAAAAACUCAGGGCUCAACCCGGAGACGCCAUCUGAUACUGCGGUGACUGGAGUCUGGUAGGGGAACACGGAAUUCCUGGUGUAGCGGUGAAAUGCGCAGAUAUCAGGAGGAACACCGAUGGCGAAGGCGGGAUCCUGGGCCAGUACUGACGCUGAGGAGCGAAAGCGUGGGGAGCAACAGG
rnacentral:rRNA from 1 species